UACGUAGGGUGCAAGCGUUGUCCGGAAUUAUUGGGCGUAAAGAGCUCGUAGGCGGUUUGUCGCGUCUGCUGUGAAAACUCGGGGCUUAACUCCGGGCCUGCAGUGGGUACGGGCAGACUAGAGUGCGGUAGGGGAGACUGGAAUUCCUGGUGUAGCGGUGAAAUGCGCAGAUAUCAGGAGGAACACCGGUGGCGAAGGCGGGUCUCUGGGCCGUAACUGACGCUGAGGAGCGAAAGCGUGGGGAGCAAACGGG
rnacentral:rRNA from 1 species